UCGUGAUGGGGGAGAAGAGAAAGAAAGAAAGAGGGAGAUUUGAAGAAAGAAUGCUGAAAGAGAGAGGGCUGAGAGACAAAAGAAGGAAAUAUCACUGGAAAAAGAGCAAUGAAGGGAGGGCUGUGUGUGUUUGGGUUGUUUUUAAAUAUCCACAGUGUUUCUCAGAAAUCACUUACUGCACUUUUGAAUGCUGGACUUUUUAAUUUUGACUUUGUAUUUUGUAGCACCUUCCCCUCUCCAAAAAAUGGUCAGGUUGUUGAGAGGGUCUCCUCCUUCUGCUUCUUGGGCACUACCAUACACCAGUCCCUCUCAUGGGACCUGAACAUUAGUCUCAUUGUAGGCAAAGCUCAUCAGAGACUCUUUUUCCUCUGUCAGUUGAGAAAAUUUGGAGUUAGCCGGGAAGGCAUGACUCAUUUUUAUCGAGCCGUCAUAGAAAGCGUGCUGACCUUCUCUAUCCUGUCCUGGUACGGGAACGCGACCAGUCAGGAUAAGCACCAGCUAGAGAAAGUAGUGCGCAGAGCCUCUAAGAUCAUUGGCUGCAGUCUGCCUACCAUAGCCUCACAUUACGUCACCAGAAUUAUUAGGAAGGCGAGAAACAUCACCAACAACCCCUUCCACCCAGCACAUCACCUGUUUACUCUUUUGCCAUCAGGGAAGAGGUACAGAAGCAUCACCAGCAGAACAUCACGCUUCAGAGAUACCACUUACCUCCAAGCUAUACGAUAUUUAAAUAUGGCUUGAUGCUUGAAUGUUGAUUUAGGUUAUAAACUUGUGGACUGAUUUCUGGCUGUGUUGCUUGCACUAAGCACUUUAUGGUCUGGCCUAUAACCAGUUGACACACCUAAUGUGCAAUAUGUGUUGUUCAUGUCUGUGUAUAUGUAUGUGCUGUGUCAGUGCAUUGUUGUACCAUGGGAGCAUACCAAGAUAAAUUCCUAUCAACUGUAUUGUUGAAAUGGCUAAAUAAACUUGACUUGGACUUGUAGACUCAAAAGGCUCUGCAAAUGCAGCAAGACAACUUGGAGGCAGUGAAGAUGGAGAUUUCACUGCAUGAUGAUUGUGUUGAUCAGUGGGUUUCAGACGUACAGCAAUGGGCAGAAGGUAUUAUUUUGAUUUGCUUUGUUACUAUUCUUAUCAUUAGCAGGUAAUAUAUAAAGUUUCUUUUAUGCAUUUUCUUGUGUGGAAAGUGACCAACAUGGGAGUGGUGAUAUGAGAAGGUUACAAGAGGAAAUAGAAGGGCUAACAGUCAGCAUCAAAAUGCGAACACAGCGUCUGUACAGUCAAACAGCAACAAGCGGCGCCAUUCUUUGCGUCUCAGAAGGAGUGAAGAGAAGAAGAAGCUAGUUGUUGCAGUGGAAGAAUACAACGGCAUAGCAGAUCCAUCCCAGAAGCUUGGCUCAGUCGAAGACUUCUUCACAGCUGAAACUGUUGCUUGGCCUUGGCAAAUCCCUAGCAGUACUGAAUCGGCUCCAUUUCUCACCAAGAGGAAGGUGUUUGAUAAGGUGAUGGCAGUGAGACGCCUUCAGGAAGAGAAAGGUCAAAUUUGUAAGGGGAUGAAACAGCACUGGACGGUCCUGACACACAAGAUGUCCAAAUUCGAAGCACUGAUUAAUGAGAUCAGCUCAAAAUGUAAGAAAGUCUUAGAAAAUUUAUUAAAUGUAAGAAAAUUAAUUUUUCCUUUUGUUUUUCAGCUCUUUCUCCAACCCUGUCUGACAUUGCAUGCAAAGGUCUCCUCUGCAUUGUUCGAAAGAAACAUUAUGAACUUUAAACCUUUAACAGUUGGUAAAGGCAGGCUAUUUGAAAAUUUUCAGCCAACGAGAUUCGAUGUCUGAAGAAGAGAAGCUUGAACAGGAAGAUGACCUGCAAGACGAAGAGCCCUCAGAAAGCAACAACAGCUCAGAUGACGAACAUGAUUUUCCUUAAUAAGGGACAUUUAAGCCGGGUGCAAACUGUAUGAUUUUGGCCACAAGAUUCCUCUGAUCUUUGCCAAAAAUCUGUAGUCUUUGAUCGCUAGUUUGACAUGUUCACCAACAGCUGAUUAAUGACCGUUGCAAUCAAAAUUUACCUCAGACGAAAUUCUUGCGGUGUCAGAAAAUUUGACUUCCAGUCCUGCAGUGUGACUUCUCCUACGACGACCGGAUUGUCUUUAUUUUUCAAGACAUGCUGUGAUCAAAAUUGUUAGAAAUGUUAGAGAUUUCUUGAUUAGCCACCAUUUCAGUCAUGUCAUUGAUUGAUGAUGUUUUCUUGUGUGUGUGUUUGUUUUUAAUGCAUCUUACUGUUGUACAGUCUGACAUUAAUGACAACUGAGAUCCCACAGUGUGACAUGAGGAUCAUGUUCGUACAGUCUGACAAGCAACAGUUGUAAAUGACUCUUAUAAAUCAUACAGUGUGCACCCGGCUUUAGAAUAAAUUACACAAUUCUGUAAAUGAAAAACCCAAAAAACAAUAAUUUCACAUGAAUGGGAAUGUGAAUCAUACUUUGCCUUUAAAUGUCACAUAGAGCAAUUAGAUCAGAAGGCUUGUUUGUCUUUUUGAUGUUUAUUGUGUCAACUUUUCUGUAAAUGCCUGAUGCCAGUGUCUUUGAACAAUAACCUAUUACAUUCCAUGUGGCUAAUUACACAUCUAACAAAACUACUUUGUCUACACUUGAAAGAUCCAGUUAUGCAGUUUACAUUCAGUGUGUAUUUUUUACAC